ACUGAGAGGGGUGGAAGAGGAAAUCUUCACUCUGGGGGUCGUCGCCUCAAGCACCCAUACCCACACAACGGGUUUCUUCCACCGGCGCCCGGGCGAAAAGGAGCGGGGGACGCGCGGUCCAGCGAGGGGACGGCUUGCGAACGGAACGAGACGGCGUCGACCGGGGGGACGACCCAGAGACACGCAUUACGUAGCGCGUGUCUCUUGCUAGUUAAUAACAAGAGGCCACAUAAAACAGCCCAUCCCAACCCACAUAAAGCAGGGGAGGAGGAGCCGCAUUGA
rnacentral:lncRNA from 1 species